AUGCUCUCUCUCUCCUCGUCGCUUUCUCCUCGAGCCCCCACCUUCUCUCUCCUCAUCCGCUUCUCUCUCCCCGUUCGCGUCCCGGCCACCCGAACCCGCCCUGGUGCCUCCCCGCCGCAGCUCUGGCCCGCAGCGCCCAACAUCCCGCGUCGCCCCGCCAGCCCUCUGCGCCCGGUCGGCCUCCCACACCGCGCCACCCUGCCAAACGGAGAGCUCGCGGGCUUGGCGAGGCUGCGCUCGAGCUUGUGCGCGUUCCUCGUGGCGCUCCAGCACACGGUCCGCUCCGCUCCAGCCCCAUUCCCGGCGCACUUCGAGGCCCCACUUCUCCUCCCCUUCGCCCUCCCGGUCAGCCGGUGUUGCGGCCAGAUCAGCGGUGUUGUCCAGGCGGAGGCCGCUGUCGAUGACGAGGAGGAGGCGCUCUGCCCCAUCUGCCUCGACGCCAUGGAGUUGGGCCGUGACGUGCGCGUCCUCCCCAGCUGCAACCGCGCCUUCCACGAGGACUGCGACGAUCGGUGGCUGGCCAUCUCGCCUGGGUGGCCGCCCUGCUCAGCCGCACGGUCGAGCUCGUCCGGUCGGACAACGCCAUGUACGCCUCCUGCAGGACCAUGGUGCACGCGCUCUCGCGCUUGCCUGUGCGUGGCAAGGAGGACGGCGGCGAGUUCGCGUGCAAGUCCAUCCCUGCUGGCGCGAGUUGGUGCUACCGCGCGCGCUGCUUUGCUGCUGCCCAAGGCGGGCGAGCGACGGGGCACAGUGAGUCACGCGAGAUGGCAAGGACUGUGGCGGGAUCAUCGUGGUGUCUUCCUCGCCUCAUUGUCGAGCUAG
rnacentral:rRNA from 1 species